rnacentral:rRNA from 1 species
AAAAGAAAAUAACAAUGAUUCCCUCAGUAACGGCGAGCGAAGAGGGAUAAGCUCAAAUUUUAAAUCUGUUGGGUUUCACCUAACAGAGUUGUAUUUUGAAGAAACGUUUUCUGCGUCCAGGAUUAGCCUAAAUCCUUUGGGAUAAGGUAUCAUGGAGGGUGAGAAUCCCGUUCAUGGUUAAUCUUAAGGAUGCUCUACGAUACGUUCUCCAAGAGUCGAGUUGUUUGGGAUUGCAGCUCAAAAUGGGAGGUAAAUUUCUCCUAAGGCUAAAUAUUGGCGAGAGACCGAUAGCGAACAAGUACCGUGAGGGAAAGAUGAAAAGAACUUUGAAAAGAGAGUUAAACAGUACGUGAAAUUGUUGAAAGGGAAACGAUUGAAGUCAGUCAUACCAACGGGAAAUCAACCUUUUGAGUUUGGUCUCGUGGGUUUUGAAGAGUUUAAAAGCCUUCGGAUUUUCGAGAUUGGGUUCUUCUGGUGUACUUUCUCGUACGGUUAGUCAACAUCGGUUUUGAAUGUCAUAAAAUGACUGGAGGAAUGUGGCUUCGAUCUCGUAUUGAAGUGUUAUAGCCUUUGGUAGAUGUGAUGUUCGAGACCGAGGAUUGCAACGGAUACCCUUCUGGGCUAUUCGUCUGAUCUCUGAAACGUUGCCUUGAUGUCGAAAGCUUGCUUAUGAUGUUAGGGUAUUACGAUCAAAAGGUUAGAACGGAUUAAAUUCGUUAAGGAUGUUGACGUUAUGACUUUAAACGACCCGUCUUGAAACACGGACCAAGGAGUCUAACAUAUAUGCGAGUGUUUGGGUGAAUAAACCCUUGCGCGUAAUGAAAGUGAUUUUGGUGAGAUCCGGAAUAAUUUUUUUUCGGAGCAUCUUCGACCGAUCAGGUAUUUUUUGAUAGAUUUGAGUAAGGCACUCUGCU